rnacentral:rRNA from 1 species
CCCGCUGAACUUAAGCAUAUCAAUAAGCGGAGGAAAAGAAACUAACAAGGAUUCCCCUAGUAACGGCGAGUGAAGCGGGAUGAGCUCAAAUUUGAAAUCUGGCUGGUUUACUAGUCCGAGUUGUAAUUUAAAGAAGCGUUUUCGGUGGCAGCCUGGGUAUAAAUCCUUUGGAAUAGGGUAUCAUAGAGGGUGAGAAUCCCGUCUUUGACCUAGUGCAUGCUACUAUGUGAUACGUUUUCAAAGAGUCGAGUUGUUUGGGAAUGCAGCUCCAAAUGGGUGGUAAAUUUCAUCUAAAGCUAAAUAUUGGCGAGAGACCGAUAGCGAAACAGUACCGUGAGGGAAAGAUGAAAAGACUUUGAAAAGAGAGUUAAACAGUGCGUGNAAUGUGANNAAGGGAAACGUUUGACACCAGUCAUGUGGGUGGAAAAUCAGUCUUUGCAUUUGGGGAGUUGUAAGGGUUCGGACCGCAAGGCCGGCUUUUGCUUCAUCUUUGGUGUAAGUGAUGCACUUUUUCAUCUACAGGUCAACAUCAGUUUCUUUUGCUGGACAAAACUCCGAGAGAAGGUAGCAGCUUAGGCUGUGUUAUAGCUCUGGAGCGAUACAGUGAAGGGGACUGAGGUUUUCGCAGCGUGUGCUCUCGGGCAAGGCUGGAUGGGUGCUAUGGGAUCGUUCGGGGUACAAUGCCUGGCAUUUUGCUUCGUGUCCUUUCUAUACUCGCUCAACUCAGCUCUUCCACGCUUAGGAUGUUGACUUAAUGGUUUUAAACGACCCGUCUUGAAACACGG